UGGUGGAGUGAUUUGUCUGCUUAAUUGCGAUAACGAACGAGACCUUAACCUGCUAAAUAGCCAGGCGAGCUUUGGCUCGUCGCCGGCUUCUUAGAGGGACUAUCGGCUCAAGCCGAUGGAGGUUUGAGGCAAUAACA
rnacentral:rRNA from 1 species